CCGUUAAUAAAUUUGUUUGAAGAUGAAGCCAUAAAAUCUUUCCCCAUUUGCCGGCUAUAUAAAGAUUCUACAGAACGCGUUUCCUAAUGUCCUGAAAUCAUUUCCGCUCCAAAUUGUUUUAUUCUCAAAAGGUCCUAAAUCCCCAAGUGAAUGUCUAAAGAAGGAUUUUAAUCAAUUUCCAGACAUCAAAGGGAAUUACUAC